CUUGCCUUAAAUAAGAGGUCCAGCCUGCCCAGUGACACUGUUCAACGGCCGCGGUAUCCUAACCGUGCGAAGGUAGCGUAAUCACUUGUUCUUUAAAUGAGGACUAGUAUGAAAGGCAUCACGAGAGUCAUACUGUCUCCUUUUUCCAAUCAGUUAAACUAAUCUCCCCGUGAAGAAGCGGGGAUAAUUCUAUAAGACGAGAAGACCCUAUGGAGCUUUAAACAAAUAACACCUGCCUACCCUACCCUUUAAUUUCAGAAAAAUCUCUCACUUUGGCAUCAUACUUAUAAGUUUUUGAUUGGGGUGAUCGCGGAACAAAAGAUAACCUCCGCAAUGAAAGACACUCCCCUUACUAAGUUAAGAGCUACAACUCUAUACAUCAACAAAUUGACACUAAUUGACCCAAUAUAUUGAUCAAUGAAC
rnacentral:rRNA from 1 species